UACGUAGGGUGCAAGCGUUAAUCGGAAUUACUGGGCGUAAAGGGCUCGUAGGCGGCCAACUAAGUCAGACGUGAAAUCCCUCGGCUUAACCGGGGAACUGCAUCUGAUACUGAAUGGCUUGAGUUCGGGAGAGGGAUGCGGAAUUCCAGGUGUAGCGGUGAAAUGCGUAGAUAUCUGGAGGAACACCGGUGGCGAAGGCGGCAUCCUGGACCGACACUGACGCUGAGGAGCGAAAGCCAGGGGAGCAAACGGG
rnacentral:rRNA from 1 species